GCUUCGCGUUCACAUGAAAAUGUGGUAGUGUGAAAUCAAGUUUGCAAGCGGUAGGACGCGUCGGUGUGUGUCCGUUUUUUCUCUCGUAAAACCAGUACGGAAAAACUUUUUGAAAUCGUAACACACGCACGAACGGAAGUGAGCACGGACCACAACAGAAGCAAUAUUCAAUUGGUUGGAGUGCCGAAAACAGAACAGGAGAGGAAAGAAGGCAGGAACGAUCCGAUCCUCCAACGUGCUAGCGCCUGGUAGCGGAGAAGCGGCAGGAAGGUAGAGACGAACAUCCAGCUCGCUAGUGCAGCACGUGGGAGCAGCAAGAGGGAAGCAAGCAGGACGCGUACACACCAUUCGACGAAGGCAAAGCUGGAGGAAAGGAAGAACGAGGAGAGAAGGCAGGCAAGACGGGUACGUGUGUAUCCCGCACCGGUUUUAGGCAGUGUGAAUUGUGUGAGUAUGUAAAUAUGUAUGUGCGAGUAAGAAGGUAAAAUAAAGAGCGUAAGCAUGUGCAGAAUGGACAAAAGAGAGUAAGAGUCUUUGUAGGGAGAAUGGAGAGAAUGAAAGAAAUUGAGAAGGGAUGUAGCAUACAUAAACCAAAUGUAUGAUACACGCUGUCGCACGAUUUCAAAAACCUUCUGUAUCCCAACCGGCAUUAUCGCGCGAUUUUUAUGUGUAUCUAUCAUUUUUCUCUUUCUAACAUUCAGAAAAAUUUUCAUUCUGUCUUGCUCUUCUGGGUGUUGGUCACUCUUUGCUCGCAACUUGGCUGUGUCACAUCAACCAUCCUCAUGUUUCAUAUGGCUCUUCUCUUUCCAUCGUUCGAGAGAAACUCUUGUGUCUCGCUUUUCUGGGACUUGUCCAAUUUCGCUUGCUACACCAAGCGUUCACGCAAGCGAUCUUCUCUCGUCCGCUCUUUGUAUCAUUGUACAGGUACUCCCCGAUAUACGCUAUUAAUGCGGACCGGAGGCAUUAGCGUAUCUCGAAUAUUAGCAAAUGUCGAGUUUUCAGUCAAAUUAUAGCUAAUUUUCAUAUAAUUUUGCAUGAAGUGGUAGGUUUUAGCCGCUAAAUUAGUUAUUUGAUAUGAUUUCAACUGAAUAUUACAAUUGUACACAUUUUGAAAUGGUUUUUAAUAUUCGACCAAAAGGGAAUUUAUUUUGAAUUUGAUAUUCGAUGUGUCAAAUUAGUACAAUUUGCUCAAAAAACUUUAAAAUUUAGAAAAAAAGCUUAUAGCGAAAUCGCGUAUAUCGUGUAUGGCGUAUAUCGGGGAAUACCUGUAUAGCCACCAGAGGAAGGCGCUGCUUCGCGUUCAUAUGAAAAAGUGGUAGUGUAAAAUCAAGUUUGUAAGAAGAAGGACGCGUCGAUGCGUGCUCGUUUUUUCUCUCGUGAAACCAGUACGGAAAAAAAACUAUUUGGUAAGUACAGCUUUUAAUAAAGGAUUAUAUCAAUCUGUAUCAAAUUGAAUGGUAUUAAUAAUUGGUGAUAUCAAAUCAAUUUCGUUUUCUAUAGCAAAUCGUAACACACGCACAAACGGAAGUGAGCACGGACCACGAUAGAAAUAAUCAAUUGGUUGCAGUGCCAAAAACAAAAGGACAGGAGAGGUAGGAACGACCAUUCAACGCGUUAGCGCCGGACGAAGGAGAAGCGGCAGGAAGGCAGGAACGAUCCUUCAACGUGCUAGCGCCUGGUAGAGGAGAGGCGGCAGGAAGGUAGGGACGAUUAUCCAGCACGCUAGCGCAGCAUCUGGGAACAGCGAGGGGGAGGCAAGCAGGAAGAAUUUUUAACGCGUGCACACCAUUCGACGAAGCCAACGCUGGAUGAAAGGAAGAACGAGGAGAGAAGGCAGGCAAGACGGGUACGUGUGUGUCCCGCAACGGGUUUUCGGCAGUGUGAAAUGUGAGUAUUGAAAAGUGUAUGUGUGAGUAGAGGUAAAGAGGUAAAAUAAAGAGCGAAUGUGUGGAAUGGGAAAAUGAAA